CAGCAAUGACUGGGUCAGGCGCCUCCUUCACUUGCUGUGAGUCCCUUAUCACAACUGAUCACUCCGUGGGGUCACCGCUGCUCUGGCGUCUACCUCCCCCAACAGGUUGGGGUUUCUAGGAGGGCAGCUCCAGAGGUUGCAGAACACUCCGCUGCCUCUCCAGAGCCAGGCACACAGCAGGCGCUCCAUAAAUGUUCGUUGGAGAUGGAGUACCGCCAUGUUUCCCGCGCUGGUCUCGAACUCCUGGCCUCAAGUGAUGCUCCUGCAUCAGCCUCCCAAAGCGCUGGGACUACAGGCAUGAGCCACUGUGCCUGGCUUAGCACCUGCAUUUUUUCUUUCCCUGGGACUCGCACUUUCUCUGCAGCCGCAGUUGUCUUCGGCUGCCCCACUGUACAGUGUGGACACUGGAGUAUGCUUUCAGGCUCGAGGGGACCCUAGGAAGGGUCACUGGGCCUGACUGUCCAUGAGGUACUGUAGAAUUGCAUCAAGUUAUGGUGGCCAGAUUGAGCAAAUAAAAAUACAGGAUGCCAGGGAAAACUUGUUUUUCUCAUACAAUUUUAAAAAUUGACAUAUAAUUCACAUACCAUAAAAUUCACGCUUUUAAAGUGUGCAAUAAAUUCAGUGUUUUAAGCAUACUCACAGAGUUGUGUAACCAUCACCACGAUCUGAUUCCAGGACAUUUGUAUCAUCCCCAAAAGAAACCCUGUACCUAUUAGCAGCCAGUCCUCAUUCCCCC
rnacentral:lncRNA from 10 species